AUCCCAUGUUGAGGGAACUUCCUCAACAAUUCCUUUUACCGCUCCCAUGCUUUGUACAAGCUUUGGGACCAUAUCUAUCUGAAAGAUGAUAUGUCAUUUUUUAGCUU